AAUGAACGCUGGCGGCAUGCCUAACACAUGCAAGUCGAACGAGACCUUCGGGUCUAGUGGCGCACGGGUGCGUAACGCGUGGGAAUCUGCCCUUGGGUUCGGAAUAACAGUUAGAAAUGACUGCUAAUACCGAAUGAUGUCGUAAGACCAAAGAUUCAUCGCCCAGGGAUGGGCCCGCGUAGGAUUAGCUAGUUGGUGUGGUAAAAGCGCACCAAGGCGACGAUCCUUAGCUGGUCUGAGAGGAUGAUCAGCCACACUGGGACUGAGACACGGCCCAGACUCCUACGGGAGGCAGCAGUGGGGAAUAUUGGACAAUGGGCGAAAGCCUGAUCCAGCAAUGCCGCGUGAGUGAUGAAGGCCUUAGGGUUGUAAAGCUCUUUUACCCGGGAUGAUAAUGACAGUACCGGGAGAAUAAGCUCCGGCUAACUCCGU
rnacentral:rRNA from 1 species